UACGUAGGGUGCGAGCGUUGUCCGGAAUUAUUGGGCGUAAAGGGCUCGUAGGCGGUUUGUCGCGUCGGGAGUGAAAACCAGGUGCUUAACACCUGGCUUGCUUUCGAUACGGGCAGACUAGAGUGUGGUAGGGGAGAUCGGAAUUCCUGGUGUAGCGGUGGAAUGCGCAGAUAUCAGGAGGAACACCGGUGGCGAAGGCGGAUCUCUGGGCCAUAACUGACGCUGAGGAGCGAAAGCAUGGGGAGCGAACAGG
rnacentral:rRNA from 1 species